GAUGAACGCUGGCGGCGUGCCUAAUACAUGCAAGUCGAGCGAACGGACGAGAAGCUUGCUUCUCUGAUGUUAGCGGCGGACGGGUGAGUAACACGUGGAUAACCUACCUAUAAGACUGGGAUAACUUCGGGAAACCGGAGCUAAUACCGGAUAAUAUUUUGAACCGCAUGGUUCAAAAGUGAAAGACGGUCUUGCUGUCACUUAUAGAUGGAUCCGCGCUGCAUUAGCUAGUUGGUAAGGUAACGGCUUACCAAGGCAACGAUGCAUAGCCGACCUGAGAGGUGGAUCGCCAACACUGGACCUGAGCAACGUCCCAGACUCUUAGGGAGGCAGCAGUAGGGAAUCUUCCGCAAUGGGCGAAAGCCUGACGGAGCAACGCCGCGUGAGUGAUGAAGGUCUUCGGAUCGUAAAACUCUGUUAUUAGGGAAGAACAUAUGUGUAAGUAACUGUGCACAUCUUGACGGUACCUAAUCAGAAAGCCACGGCUAACUACGUG
rnacentral:rRNA from 1 species